GCCAGGGAACUACGAGCCAAGCUUAAAACCCAAAGGACUUGACGGUGCCCCAUACCCCCCUAGAGGAGCCCGUCCUAUAAUCGAUGAUCCCCGUUUAACCUCACCGCUUCUGGCUUUUCAGCCUGUAUACUUCCGUCGUCAGCUUACCACAUGAGCGAAAUUUAGUUAGCCCAAUGUCCCAUAAUUAAUUAUAUCGUCAACACGUCAGGUCAAAGUGCAGCAAAUGAAGCGGGAAGAGAUUGGCUACACUUUUUAACAUAAAAAAUACGAAAGACAGAAUGAAACUUUGUCAGAAGGUGGAUUUAGAAGUAAAAAGAAUUCAUUACAUUCUUUUUAACAAGGCACUGGAGCGUGU
rnacentral:rRNA from 1 species